rnacentral:lncRNA from 1 species
NNUUGGGAAUUCUUGGGAAUUUCUGGGAGUUCUUGGGAGUUCUUUGGGAGUUUUGGGAAUUUUUGGGAGUUCUUUGGGAAUUUUGGGGGAAUUUUGGGGGAUUUUGUGGGAGUUUUGGGGAGGAAAGGAAAGAGUUAAAAGUGGCUGAGCUGCUCAGAGAACUCCGGGAGCUCCUGACUGAGGGGUUUGGGAAUUUUGGGAUCCCAAUCCAAAUAAUCCCAAUCCUGAUCUCAAUCCCAAUCCCAAUCCCAAUAAUCCCAAUCCAAAUAAUCCAAUCCCAAUAAUCCCAAUAAUCCCAAUAAUCCAAAUAAUCCCAAUAAUCCCAAUAAUCCUGAUCCCGAUCCAAAUCCCAAUCCAAAUCCCAAUCCCAAUCCCAAUCCCAAUAAUCCAAAUCCAAAUAAUCCAAUCCCAAUAAUCCAAAUAAUCCCAGUAAUACAAAUAAUCCCAAUAAUCCCAAUAAUCCCAAUAAUCCCAAUAAUCCCAAUAAUCCCAAAAAUCCCAAUAAUCCUGAUCCCGAUCCAAAUCCCAAUCCCAAUCCCAAAACAAAUAAUCCCAAUCCCAAUAAUACAAACCCCAAUCCCAAUCCUGAUCCUGAUCCCAAUUCCAAUAAUCAAAAAAAUCCCAAUCCAAGAAAUCCCAAUAAUCCAAAUCCAAAUAAUUCCAACCCAAAUAAUCCCAAUCCCGAUCCCGAUCCCAGUCCCAAUCCAAAUAAUCCCAGUUCCAAUCCCAAUCCCAAUAAUCUGAAUAAUCCAAAUCCCAAUCCUGAUCUCAAUCCCAAUCCCAAUCCAAAUAAUCCCAAUAAUCCCAAUAAUUCAAAUAAUCCCAAUAAUCCAAAUAAUCUCAAUAAUCCAAAUAUUCCAAAUCCCAAUCCCUAUCCAAAUAAUCCAAAUAAUCCCAGUAAUCCCAGUAAUCCAAAUAAUUCCAAUAAUCCAAAUAAUCCCAAUCCAAAUCCCAAACCCAACAAUCCCAAUAAUCCCAAUAAUCCCAAUAAUCCCAAUAAUCCCAGUAAUCCCAGUAAUCAAAAUAAUUCCAAUAAUCCAAAUAAUCCCAAUCCUAAUCCCAAUCCCAAUAAUCCAAAUAAUCCAAAUAAUCCCAGUAGUCCCAGUAAUCAAAAUAAUUCCAAUAAUCCAAAUAAUCCCAAUAAUCCAAAUAUUCCAAAUCCCAAUAAUCCAAAUAAUCCCAAUAAUCCCAGUAAUCCCAGUAAUCAAAAUAAUUCCAAUAAUCCCAAUAAUCCAAAUAAUCCCAAUAAUCCCAAUAAUCCCAAUAAUCCAAAUAAUCCCAAUAAUCCCAAUAAUCCCAAUCCCAGGUUUCUCCCAGCAUCCCAAUCCCAGGUUUCUCCCAGCCCCAUCCAACCCCUCCCUGAUUUCCAGGAUCAGCCCCACAUUCCCGGGAAUUCCAUCCCAGCCCCUCCCAUCCAUCAAUUUCCACC